rnacentral:tRNA from 1 species
AGAAGCUUAGGUUAACCUAAACCGGGGGCCUUCAAAGCCCCAAAUAGGAACAAAAAUCCUAGCUUCUG